rnacentral:rRNA from 1 species
CGCGGUAAUUUGACCGUGCUAAGGUAGCAUAAUCAUUUGUCUCUUAAUUGGAGACUGGAAUGAAAGGCAAAACGUGAAUCGAUCUGUCUUUUUGAUAAAAAUUGAAGUUUAUUUUUUAGUGAAAAAGCUAAAAUAAUUUUGUGGGACGAUAAGACCCCAUAGAUCUUUAUUGUAUAUUGUUUUAAAGUUAAAAAAAUAUCAAUUUUAUUGGGGCGAUAAAAAGAAAAAAAAAUCUCUUUUAAAUUUAAAUAUUUAUAAAUAAAUUAAAUUAUUGAUCCUUGAGGAUGGAUUUUAAGAAAAAGUUACCUUGGGGAUAACAGCGUUAUAUUUUUUAAGAGUUCUUAUCGAAAAAAAUGUUUGCGACCUCGAUGUU